rnacentral:rRNA from 1 species
UACGGAGGUCCCGAGCGUUGUCCGGAUUUAUUGGGCGUAAAGCGAGCGCAGGUGGUUUAUUAAGUCUGGUGUAAAAGGCAGUGGCUCAACCAUUGUAUGCAUUGGAAACUGGUAGACUUGAGUGCAGGAGAGGAGAGUGGAAUUCCAUGUGUAGCGGUGAAAUGCGUAGAUAUAUGGAGGAACACCGGUGGCGAAAGCGGCUUCCUGGUCUGCAACUGACACUGAGGCGCGAAAGCGUGGGGAGCAAACAGG